CGGUAAUACGAAGGGACCUAGCGUAGUUCGGAAUUACUGGGCUUAAAGAGCUCGUAGGUGGUUAGAAAAGUUGGUGGUGAAAUCCCAAGGCUUAACCUUGGAACUGCCAUCAAAACUUUUUAACUAGAGUAUGAUAGAGGAAAGUGGAAUUUCUAGUGUAGAGGUGAAAUUCGUAGAUAUUAGAAAGAACACCGAUUGCGAAGGCAGCUUUCUGGAUCAUUACUGACACUGAGGAGCGAAAGCAUGGGUAGCGAAGAGGAUUAGAUACCCUCGUAGUCCAUGCCGUAAACGAUGUGUGCUAGACGUUGGAAAUUUAAUUUUCAGUGUCGCAGCAAAAGCGUUAAGCACACCGCCUGGGGAGUACGACCGCAAGGUUAAAACUCAAAUGAAUUGACGGGGACCCGCACAAGUAGUGGAGCAUGUGGUUUAAUUCGAAGAUACGCGCAGAACCUUACCAACACUUGACAUGUUCGUCGCGACUCUAAGAGAUUAGAGUUUUCGGUUCGGCCGGACGAAACACAGGUGCUGUAUGGCUGUCGUCAGCUCGUGUCGUGAGAUGUUGGGUUAAGUCCCGCAACGAGCGCAACCCCCACUUUUAGUUGCUACCAUUUAGUUGGGCACUCUAAAAGAACUGCCAGUGAUAAGCUGGAGGAAGGCGGGGAUGACGUCAAGUCCUCAUGGCCCUUACGUGUUGGGCUACACACGUGCUACAAUGGUACUUACAGUGAGAAGCAAAGAGGCGACUCUAAGCUAAUCCCUAAAAGGUACCUCAGUUCGGAUUGUACUCUGCAACUCGAGUACAUGAAGCUGGAAUUACUAGUAAUCGCGGAUCAGCGCGCCGCGGUGAAUACGUUCCCGGG
rnacentral:rRNA from 1 species